rnacentral:rRNA from 1 species
CAGGCCUAACACAUGCAAGUCGAACGGUAACAGGAAGCAGCUUGCUGCUUCGCUGACGAGUGGCGGACGGGUGAGUAAUGUCUGGGAAACUGCCUGAUGGAGGGGGAUAACUACUGGAAACGGUAGCUAAUACCGCAUAACGUCGCAAGACCAAAGAGGGGGACCUUCGGGCCUCUUGCCAUCGGAUGUGCCCAGAUGGGAUUAGCUAGUAGGUGGGGUAACGGCUCACCUAGGCGACGAUCCCUAGCUGGUCUGAGAGGAUGACCAGCCACACUGGAACUGAGACACGGUCCAGACCCCUACGGGAGGCAGCAGUGGGGAAUAUUGGACAAUGGGCGGAAGCCUGAUCCAGCAACGCCGCGUGAGGGAUGACGGCCUUCGGGUUGUAAACCUCUUUCGGUGGGGACGAAGGCUCUGUCGUGAGGCGGGGUGGACGGUACCCACUAAAGAAGCACCGGCCAACUACGUGCCAGCAGCCGCGGUAAU